UGCCAGCCGCCGCGGUAAUACGAAAGGUGCGAGCGUUAAUCGGAAUUACUGGGCGUAAAGCGCACGUAGGUGGCUUGGUAAGUCGGAUGUGAAAGCCCUGGGCUCAACCUGGGAAUUGCAUUCGAUACUGCUUAGCUAGAGUAUGAGAGAGGGUAGUGGAAUUCCGGGUGUAGCGGUGAAAUGCGUAGAUAUCCGGAGGAACAUCAGUGGCGAAGGCGGCUGCCUGGACCAAAAUUGACGCUGAGGCACGAAAGCGUGGGUAGCAAACAGGAUUAGAAA
rnacentral:rRNA from 1 species